rnacentral:lncRNA from 1 species
ACCAAAUCUACUUUGGAUUUUAUACGGCAUUGAUGUAUUUUAGAAACAAGGAUAUCAAGAUGAACAGAGUGUCAAAAGAACAGCUUGAGGUUUUGUUGGAGUUUUAUAGUUCUUACAAGAACAUCAUUCUUUAGCCAAAGACAUAGACUCGGCACCACAUUCAAGAAAACUUUCGAUAGUCAGUGGAAACAUCUAGCGAUAAAGCUGAACUCUAUUGGUUUAGGUUCUUCCAAAACUGGAGAGCAUUUGAAACGUACUGGGCUGAUAUUUAAUAAGAGCAAAACCAGACUUGCUAAACAUAAAUGGAGUCUUCUGACUGACUGACUGGCAGCGGUCUGAGUACACCGAAAAGAUAUUUCCGAGAUGGACAAAAAAAUCUGUCAUUGGAGAACAGGCUCUGUUUGGGAUGUAGAAAACAGAGUUCCAAUAUUGUAAACUUUACCAUAAAUAUUAUGUAUAUUAAAGAAAAAAAAGAUUUUUAUUUAAUAACUAGCCUUGCCAACUUCACAACAUGUCAAACAUUUUUACUUUUUUUUAUUUUAUGUUUUCUUGUGUAGUUCACAUUAAUAAUAAUCACAUUGAAAUAUAGUUUAUUUCACUCAGGAAUAAUGUAGCUUUCUACUGGUAAUAGAAUUUAAAAAAUGAAUUCAGUAUUUCCAGAAUUAACUUACUGCUAACAAUCUUAUAAACUUAGAUUUUCACACACUAAUUUGAGUAAUUAAUUAAAUCAUUUUUUUGUUUUUAAAAUGUACAUAGUACUUACAUGUAUACAGUAGCAUGUUUUAUAUAAAUAAAAAUGCCGUUUAGAAUUUGA